GCGACGUCAACGUCAUCACGUCUGGAAAGGAUAAGACCAAGCAUCGAGUAGUAUCUCUCCAGUGGGCACGGAGGCACGAUGAGCGGAAGAACCAAAGGCUUACACACCUCUUUUUUCGUCCUGCAGGCAACAGCGUCCGGUCAGCAAGACCCUCUUCCACGAUCAUGUGACGGGACCAAGGUUGGGCCUCUUGAACUGAUCCAGCGUACCAGCGCAACUGGAGUAUCAGAGACGCCGUUGGAGGACUCCGGUUAAAUUUUGACUAUUUGGCUUCUUCAACCUGCAGGCACCUGAUGGCUGAAUGUGUUGCGUACUAGCUGGGCAUAUGGAGACAGCUGAAAGCGGCGUCAUCAAUUCCUGAAGUCGGCAGAAGAGGCGGGCAU